GUCUCCAAAUGCAGCCGCAUUCUGAGGUACUGGGAGUUAGAACUUUGAUAAGUGAAUUCCGGGGAGAAACAAUGGGGCCCAUAACAGGAAUGGCACAAGGAAGGACACCUCCAGCUCCUUCCUGCUGAAGUCAGUUCACCCCAUACACACUUGCCCUUGAUUAUUAAGAAGAUGCUACUGGAACAAACACAAACUCAAGGUGGUGACAGACGAGGAAACUGAAGCACAGAGAGGUUAUGUAACGUGCCCUGGUCACACAGCUUGGAAGCACUGGAGCUGGAGGUGAACCCAGGCAGCUUGCUUCCAGAGCCCAUGCAAUCAACUCCCAUGCUGUCCCACCUCUCAGGGAAAGGGCUGUUCAAAGGAGACAGUCACUUGACACUUCAGGUUUGCAGCUGUGUGCAGGAGUUGUUGGGGAGAGCAGACCAUGAGAUGGGGUCUUGCCAUGUUGCC